AGGAAGGUGGGUAUGUUAAUAGCAUACUCAUUUGACGUUAGCUGCAGAAGAAGCACCGGCUAACUCCCGUGCCAGCAGCCGCGGUAAUACGGAGGGUGCGAGCGUUAAUCGGAAUUACUGGGCGUAAAGCGCAUGCAGGUGGUUUGUUAAGUCAGAUGUGAAAGCCCGGGGCUCAACCUCGGAAUUGCAUUUGAAACUGGCAAACUAGAGUACUGUAGAGGGGGUAGGAAUUUCAGGUGUAGCGGUGAAAUGCGUAGAGAUCUGAAGGAAUACCGGUGGCGAAGGCGGCCCCCUGGACAGAUACUGACACUCAGAUGCGAAAGCGUGGGGAGCAAACAGGAUUAGAUCCCCUGGUAG
rnacentral:rRNA from 1 species